CUACGUGCCAGCAGCCGCGGUAAUACGUAGGUCCCGAGCGUUGUCCGGAUUUAUUGGGCGUAAAGCGAGCGCAGGCGGUUAGAUAAGUCUGAAGUUAAAGGCUGUGGCUUAACCAUAGUACGCUUUGGAAACUGUUUAACUUGAGUGCAAGAGGGGAGAGUGGAAUUCCAUGUGUAGCGGUGAAAUGCGUAGAUAUAUGGAGGAACACCGGUGGCGAAAGCGGCUCUCUGGUCUGUAACUGACGCUGAGGCUCGAAAGCGUGGGGAGCGAACAGGAUUAGAUACCCUGGUAGUCCACGCCGUAAACGAUGAGUGCUAGGUGUUGGAUCCUUUCCGGGAUUCAGUGCCGCAGCUAACGCAUUAAGCACUCCGCCUGGGGAGUACGACCGCAAGGUUGAAACUCAAAGGAAUUGACGGGGGCCCGCACAAGCGGUGGAGCAUGUGGUUUAAUUCGAAGCAACGCGAAGAACCUUACCAGGUCUUGACAUCCCGAUGCUAUUUCUAGAGAUAGAAAGUUACUUCG
rnacentral:rRNA from 1 species